rnacentral:rRNA from 1 species
AUGAAUGAAAUGGCCUUCUUAUUUUUCGCGAUAAAUAACAAGGGCCACGAAUUUUCGGAGAACUCAGCACAAAAACACACUAGUUCACACACCUUAUUAAGCUGCCAAUGCCAGCGCCGAGGCCACGGCCACCGCGGCCGUCACCCACCCGGCGACCGCGGACGGCGCGGCGCCGUCCUUGUCGGCGGUGGCGUCGUCAGACGAGGAGUCGUCGGGCGAGUCCGCGGUGGAGUCGUCGUCGUCGUCCGAGGGCGAGGCGGCCGCGGAGGGCUUCUUCUUGGUGGUCUUCUUCUUCUUGGGGGCCUCGGGCGCCGGCGCGGGGGCGAUGUCCUUGGCGAUCUUGUACAGCUCCUUGGGCUGCAGGAACUUGGAGAUGGCGUAGACGGCGAGCGGGUCGUCGUCCUUGAUGGUGUAGGUGACCGACGCCGAGUUCACCUUGGUGUCGAGCUCCGCGGUCUCGCCGUCCUUCUCCACGUCGAAGCUGUAGUCCUUCUUGGCGACGUUGGAGGUGGCGAGCGUGCUCACCUUGCCGCUGUUGGAGGUGAGCAGCUGCAGCGAGUAGUAGUCCGGCACGGCGUGGUAGAGCAGGAUGGCCGUCCGGCCCUUGGCCGUCAGGUUCUUGUACUUGGGCAUGAAGGAGGCGACGGCGGAGUCGACGGGGCAGAAGAGGGUGAGCCCGUUGUCCUUGGUGGCGUUGAUGGUGCUGUAGGCGUCGGCGUCGGCGGCCAGCAGGCCCGCGAAGCUCUUGCAGUACUUCUUGGAGAGCAGCUCGGUGAUGUUGACGGGCGCCGGCGCCGCCACGGGCGCCUCGGCCUCCGGCGAGGCCAGCACCUUGCUGAUCUGGAGCACCGCCAGGUCGUAGGGGAUCUCCUUGACGGACUUGACGAAGGCGGAGGACGGCGCGCUGUCCUCCGCGUCCUCCGCCGUGAACGUCACCUUGCCGCCCCGGUGCUGCGUGAUGUUCACGUACCCGGACAUGCCGGGGGCUGCCCAUGUCGCCGUUGGCCACGACGAGCACGGUGA